rnacentral:rRNA from 1 species
AGGACGAACGCUGGCGGCGCGCCUAACACAUGCAAGUCGAACGAAGCUAAGAUUGCGGAAGUUUCGGAUGGAAGUGAACUUAGCUUAGUGGCGAACGGGUGAGUAACACGUGAGUAACCUGCCCUUCAGUGGGGGACAACAGUUGGAAACGACUGCUAAUACCGCAUAAGACCACAGUGCCACAUGGCACAGUGAUCAAAGGAUUAAUUUUCGCUGAAGGAUGGACUCGCGUCUGAUUAGCUAGAUGGUGAGGUAACGGCCCACCAUGGCAACGAUCAGUAGCCGGACUGAGAGGUUGAUCGGCCACAUUGGGACUGAGACACGGCCCAGACUCCUACGGGAGGCAGCAGUGGGGGAUAUUGCACAAUGGAGGAAACUCUGAUGCAGCGACGCCGCGUGAGGGAAGAAGGUUUUCGGAUUGUAAACCUCUGUCUUCGGGGACGAAACAAAUGACGGUACUCGAGGAGGAAGCCACGGCUAACUACGUGCCAGCCGCCGC